rnacentral:lncRNA from 1 species
ACAAUGAGGUUAUCUGAUUGCUUUGAAGUUCACAGAUGAAAAAACUACUUGCAGCGAAACUCGUGUCUGUUCAUUAUGUUCGAGACUGAGUUGUGCUAAAAGUACUCAGAAUCUUCCACAUUUUAGGAAACUUACUUGGACAGCUGUAUUAGGGACUAUUUGUAGCUACCUGCAUUACGGGGCCAGAGUAUGCCACUAAAGGUCAGCUAGACCAGCUCUCUGGGUGCUCCUCCUGUUGCCCCAAUCAGCCAGGCUGCGUGUCUCUGUGUACACCAGAAGUCUCUGGUACAGGCAGCUGGAAGAGAACCUCCAGUGGCAUGUGGGUACUAUCACAGCUGCUGCCAGGUGCUGUUUUACAGUUGGGAAGAACAUGGGGGAAAGUGGAUGCAUGGCGGUAA